rnacentral:rRNA from 1 species
UACGUAGGGUGCGAGCGUUGUCCGGAAUUAUUGGGCGUAAAGAGCUCGUAGGCGGUGUGUCACGUCGGCCGUGAAAACCUGCAGCUUAACUGUGGGCGUGCGGUCGAUACGGGCAUCACUGGAGUUCGGCAGGGGAGACUGGAAUUCCUGGUGUAGCGGUGAAAUGCGCAGAUAUCAGGAGGAACACCGGUGGCGAAGGCGGCCAUCUGGACCGCAACUGACGCUGAGGCGCGAAAGCGUGGGGAGCAAACAGG